AUAUCAAUAAGCGGAGGAAAAGAAACCAACAGGGAUUGCCUCAGUAACUGCGAGUGAAGCGGCAAAAGCUCAAAUUUGAAAUCUGGUACCUCUGGGUGCCCGAGUUGUAAUUUGGAGAGGCAACUUCGGAGGAGGCGCCUGUCUAAGUUCCUUGGAACAGGACGUCAUAGAGGGUGAGAAUCCCGUGUCAGCGGGCUGUCCUUCUCCAUGUGAAGUGUCUUCGACGAGUCGAGUUGUUUGGGAAUGCAGCUCAAAAUGGGUGGUAAACUCCAUCUAAGGCUAAAUAUUGGCGAGAGACCGAUAGCGCACAAGUAGAGUGAUCGAAAGAUGAAAAGCACUUUGAAAAGAGAGUUAAAAAGUAC
rnacentral:rRNA from 1 species